AUACUUACCCAGCAGGGGAGAUAUCAUGAUCACGAAGGUGGUUUUCCCAGGGCAAGGCUCACCCAUUGCACUCCGGGUGUGCUGACCCCUGCAAUUUCCCCAAGCGUGGGGAACUUGGCUGCGUAAUUUGUAGUAGGGAGGAGCUGCGUUCAUGCUUCCUCCU